GAUGAACGCUAGCUACAGGCUUAACACAUGCAAGUCGAGGGGAAACGACAUCGAAAGCUUGCUUUUGAUGGGCGUCGACCGGCGCACGGGGGAGUAACGCGUAUCCAACCUGCCCAUCACUUGGGAAUAACCUUGCGAAAGUAAUACUAAUACCCAAUGAUAUCCCACGAAGGCAUCGGAAUGGGAUAAAAGAUUUAUCGGUGAUGGAUGGGGAUGCGUCUGAUUAGCUUGUUGGCGGGGUAACGGCCCACCAAGGCAACGAUCAGUAGGGGUUCUGAGAGGAAGGUCCCCCACAUUGGAACCGGGCCCCGGUCCAAACUCCUACGGGAGACAGCAGUGAGGAAUAUUGGUCAAUGGGCGAGAGCCUGACCCAGCCAAGUAGCGUGCAGGAAGACGGCCCUAUGGGUUGUAAACUGCUUUUAUAAGGGAAUAAAGUGGGUCACGUGUGACUUUUUGCCUGUACCUUAUGAAUAAGGACCGGCUAAUUCCGUG
rnacentral:rRNA from 1 species